UAUGCCACAUUUAAUUUAUUUUAAAUUUAAAUUAAAAAAUUAAAAGUUAACCAACUUUCAACUAUUAAAUUAAAUGCUACGUGAAAACGCAAAUGCGCAUGCGGUAAAUUUAUUGAUUUUUCCUAACAGCUGAUUGAAAUUACUUGGUCACGUCGAACACGUGCGUUGCGGGCGCCAUUACUUGUUUACUGCUUGUUUACGUAAGAUACACACGCGAAAUGGAUGAUACCAUUUUAAUAAAUUUGGUAGAAAAAUACAAUUUUCUGUAUGAUAGGAGACAUACAGAUUUUAAAAACAAAUCGAUGAGGGCCAAUGCUUGGUCCACAAUUGGUUCUAUUUUAAACACAUCUGAUAAUUACAGCUGGUGAGGCUGAACAGAGGUUCGCUGUUCUACGCAACAGGUACACUGUUGAAAAAAAGAAGAUGAAAGCAAAUAGAUCCGGUGAUGCAGGAGGAAUUGAGAAGAAAUGGCCCUUAUUUGAUAUAUUAAGUUUCCUGGACACGUUUAUUAUACCAAGAAGAACUACAGGCAACAUCUCAACCUGCUCAGCAAAGCAGGACCAAGAAACUCCAAUUUUGGAGAUGCCGAAUUCCCCAGAAUGGGAUACCUUCACGCAAAUAACACAAACUGAAGAUCAACAACCUGCUAACACUCCUGCAGAUUCGGAAAUAGACGAGCCACCCAACAGUCCAGUAACCACUCGAGUAACCAUUACACCUCCAAUUACAAGACGGCCAAAACAGGAAAAAACGAAAAAUAAUUCUGUCCAUUUCAAAUGCCUUUUCGGCUUUUAACACGGCAAUCCAACAACCCCCACCGAACGAGCCACAAGCCAUGGAUGAAGACGACCAUUUCGCCUACAACAUUGCAGCCUCCUUACGCCGGAUAACCUCUAACAAAAUAAAAGCACAGGCAAAAAUAGACUUGCUGCAAGUAAUGCAAAAAUAUGCUGAUUAAUGUUCAUAUAUACUUCUUUUUAAUUUAUUUUUGUAAUAUGAUUAUUGUAAUAGUUAGGUUAACAAAAUAUAAUACAAACUAACAAUAAUAUAACAUUUUUAUAUUCAAUGCGGUAAGCUGCCUGCAUAUAUUUGUUGGAUUUGCCAUGGUACACUUCCAGCAUCGGACACAAAAUAAUCCGCUAGCAAAUCUCUAUUUGCACCAACUCUGUGAGAAAAGUUGUUGGUGCCAAUCCUUCCAAUGCCUGUUAAGUGUUGUCCAGUACCUCUCCAACGACCUUCGUGGAGAGUCCCUUCGCCAUCUAUGUAAUCGGCAUAACCAUUUGGUAGAUAUACUUUUUUGCCAUUUUCUUCUGUAAGUAUAAAAUUGUGUAGAACCACAGUUGCUUUCACAAUUUCUUCACAAGUGCUGAGGUCUGCGAUAAUAGUUUUUCUCAACACUCUCCACCGUUGUGCCACAAUCCCGAAUGCAUUUUCUAUGCACCGUC